rnacentral:rRNA from 1 species
CCCGCUGAACUUAAGCAUAUCAAUAAGCGGAGGAAAAGAAACUAACAAGGAUUCCCCUAGUAACGGCGAGUGAAGCGGGAAGAGCUCAAAUUUAAAAUCUGGCGGUCUCUGGCCGUCCGAGUUGUAGCCUAGAGAAGCGUUUUCUGCGGCGGACCAUGUACAAGUCUCUUGGAACAGAGCGUCAUAGAGGGUGAGAAUCCCGUCCUUGACAUGGACCCCCGUCGCUCUGCGAUGCGCUCUCGAAGAGUCGAGUUGUUUGGGAAUGCAGCUCAAAAUGGGUGGUAAAUUCCAUCUAAAGCUAAAUAUUGGCGAGAGACCGAUAGCGAACAAGUACCGUGAGGGAAAGAUGAAAAGCACUUUGGAAAGAGAGUCAAACAGUACGUGAAAUUGUUAAAAGGGAAACGAUCAAAGUCAGCCGCGUCUGCCGGGACUCAGCCUCGCCCUCGCGCCAGGCGCAUUUCCCGGUCUGACGGGCCAGCGUCGAUUUCGGCCGGCGGAGAAGGGUCGGAGGAAUGUGGCUCCUCACGGAGUGUUAUAGCCUCCGGCCGCAAACGUCGGUCGGGAUCGAGCCCUCUCGCACGGCACGCCUUCCGGCGGUGCCCGCGCUGGCGUAAUGGCUUUGACCGACCCGUCUUGAAACACGG